rfam:Triticum aestivum genome assembly, contig: Triticum_aestivum_CS42_TGACv1_scaffold_129453_2BL
CUUAUACUCCCUCCGUCCGGAAAUACUUGUCGGAGAAAUGCAUAAAAAUGAAUGUAUCUAGAACUAAAAUACAUCUAGAUACGUUCAUUCCUCCGACGAGUAUUUUCGGACGGAGGGAGUAUUAG